CUGAGGCCAGGGAAGUCAACUCCAAGAAGGAAGUUGGCUUCAAGAAGGAAGUCAGCUUAAGAAAGAAAGUCGACUCAAGGAAGAAAAUUAGCCUCAGGAGUCACCUUCAGCUCGAUUCAUAGCCUUGACCUGCCUCUUGGAAGGGACUUGGAUCAUAGAAUAUCAGACCUGGAAGAGCCAUUAGGAUUACCAAUUCAUGGAACGUCAGAGUCGAAAGGAACUUGGAAGCUUCUCUAGGACCUCAUUACCAGCCUUGGACUAACCUGGGAUUCAGGACACCUGGAUUUGAAUCACCACUUCUUCUGCCACUAAGAAAUUAAGCAAGUUGCUUUUACUCCCUGGAUUGCAAUUUCUUCGUCUGUAAAAUAAAUCCCCUGGGCUCUAUUUUGAUAUGCUUAUGGUCUAUAAAGCUAAUCUCUAUUAUACCCCAAUAUAUCCCAUGUUUGGUUGUACAGCACAUGAAUUCUCCUUGUCCUGCACAGUGUUCAAGGCACUAAACUUACUGAAAUCAGAUAAGUCUGCUCCUGUUCUGCCCCCUCAGGAAGUAAAAAAAAAAAAAGAAUGUCAUGAGAAUGCUGGCUAGUGGCCCUGGCCCCUCCUAUUGGGGUGAAAAACUUUAUGAGGUACUGGCGGAGCAGGGCACAAAACCUCUUCAGAACAAGAUACUGGAUCUUGGAACUAGGUCUCUUUCCCCAUCUUGACUCUGAGCUCUGUAUACAGUGUGCCACCUUCUUUGACUUGGAGAUAAUGGGCUAUCUGCAUCCUGUAGCAUUUCCAAGAAGGACAGCCAAUGCCAGACAAACAUGAGCCUCACAACUCUGGUUCCAAACUUGGGAAGUUGGCAUUUUUGAAGCUUGUCUUGGUGAGCUUCUCAAUGUGUUUUUAAAAUUCCUUUAAAAAAACAAACCUACCCAAUAUUGCCCUUAUUUUAUGAUCUCUGUACACGAUUUAUGAGAGUUUAUGUAUAUUAACCAUUAUAAUAAUGUGUGUAUAUAUGUAUAUUAGUUUAUUGUAUAUAUUAUCAUACUUAUUUGCUAAUUUAAUAAAAUUUAUGCAUCUGU